CAGAUUCUAAAACAACAAUUGCCCCCUCCCCCUCAAGUGGCCUUCUGAUUGCACGAAUGUGCUACUACCCUCUCCAAUCUCCCCUACCCUGAGGAGGUCAGUGAAAGUGAUGGAGGAAGUGCAAGGCUUGCUCUCCCCUCCCCUGCACCCCACACCUCACCUAGGAUGUCCACUUCAAUGCAAAUAGUUCCAUUGCACACACACAGCACACCGGAAGUUUGUAUACUGGCCUCUUUUCCUGUCUUCAAAUGUGCAAGAAUUUGAAACUGUCAUCUGGAAUAGGUUCCAUCUCUUAUGUGUGUUAGAUCAAACCAAAGAAGCCCCCAGCCAUGCCCAAAUGCUGCUCCAAAAGCCUGCCUUCCAGUCCUUACAAAAACCUUGCAGGAUUAAAUGUGUUAACUUUUUUAUUUUUGUACAGUUUCUAAGUGAUUUUUUGCUAGUGACGUUAAACUGAAUUAAGUUUAUUUGAGGAGUGUGAGCACCUCCUCCAUUUAAAUAAACUGGUGACUUUCCUUUUAUUUUUUACAAGUGGAAACCCAUUGUGUGCCUCUCGAUUUAAGGGUUUCUGAUUACAUUAUUCUUAUGACCAGCAUUGAUCCUUUAUAUACAAAGAUAUGUUUUCCUUGUUUUUUAUUACUGUUUCAGAAGAAAAUGAACCUUUUAUUUUGCUCCAGACCCAGUAACUGCGCUGGUACUUAGAAGCACUGAGAAAAUAACAAAAUAAAACAAACAAACAAAAAAUACUUUUGUAAGCACCUCUGACUGCUUUUGUAUAUCAAAGUUGAUUACUUUUGAGAUAUUUGGAUCUAGUUUCUAAGUUAUUUUAGUGUUUUAUAUGUUUCCCAAAAUUCCUUUGAAUCGGUCACCAGCAUAAAGAGUUUUUGGUGAUGCAAUGGUGAGAAUUGUAACAAGCAAAAAGCUACCUGGAGUAGCUCUACCCUCCCUUCUUAGUAACCUGGUGUUUUGAUUACAGUGAGAUAUCACGGAUUAUCUAAAACCCCUUCGUUGUAACCAGGUCCUCCCUCCUUCCACACUGAAUUGCUUACUAGUUUGAAGAAGCUAUUGGAAGUGGGCAUUUUGUAUGACAUGUAUGGCUUUAAAAUAUUAAAAAUGAACAAAAAGACAAAAAUAUGAAAAGGUUUAUGUGGGUCUGUAAGGUAUGGCUGUGGAAAGACAUUGUAGUAGUUUUGACACUAUUGUUAUUACCUUUAAAAUCAUUUACCCAAUAAAAUGUUAAAACUGAA
rnacentral:lncRNA from 1 species